GCGGUGAGGCCGGAACUCAACGCGACAGUGGGCGGGCCGUGGUGAAGAUGGCGGCUGCCGUAGCGGCCCCACGUGGAGGCGAGGCGGCGGAGGGCGAGCAGGCGGACAGCGAUUCAGAGUUAAGCUCAGGGCUUCCAGAAGACAGCUACUCAUCAGGAGGCGAAGCCCUGGAUGGUGAUGAUGAAGGUGAAACAGCAGCCCUUGGCAAUGAGGUUGAAGAGGCAACUAGCUCCAAAGCUGGCCCAAGUGCAGGCUGGGCAGAUGCCAUGGCAAAAGUGCUCAACAAAAAGAUUCCACAAAAUAAGUCCAUCAUCUUGGCCAAGAAUAAAAACCUGGAGAAAGAGAAAGCAAAGGAAAAACAAGAAAGGCUGGAGAAGAGGAUGAAGCUCGAUAAAAAGCGGGAGUGGGAAAUGAUGUGCCGAGUGAAGCCAGAUGUUGUCAAAGACCGAGACAGAGAAAGAAAUCUUCAGAGAAUUGCCACAAGAGGAGUUGUACAGUUAUUUAAUGCUGUCAGGACACACCAAAAGAACGUUGAUGAGAAGGUGAAGAAAGCUGGGAGAUCUGACAGGCAGCGUGCUAAACUGCUGUCGUCUGUUUCAAAGAAAGAUUUCAUCGAUGUCUUAAGAAACGCAGAGGGUGCUAAAGGAAGCAAGAAUCCUGCUGGAAAGGCCACAAAAAGUAAACAGGUAUUUCAAGUUUAACUCUGCGGCAUGUUCAAACAGUGAUUUAUAAAAAGUCUGGGGUAAAUGAAGCUCUCUGCUUGGUGACUUUUUAGUGCUUUCAGCCUUUCCCUACUGUGCCAAAGGGUGAAGUGAAGUCUGAAGAGGGGCCAGAAUGGAAUAUACUGCGUGAUGACUUCAUGAUGGGAGCAUCUAUGAAAGACUGGGACAAGGAAAGCGAUGGAGAAGGCAGUAUUGAAGAAGGAGGUGGUCUGAAACAAGAAGAUGACAGUGACUGAAUGAAACUGAAAACCAUUCAAGAUAAUGUUUUAUCUUCUUUAUUUUCUUUGGAUAAAAAGUCAGCAUUCUGUGAAUGUACAACACUUGGAGGAUAUCUUUUUAAAGAAAAAAAAGAAAAAGACUUGCACAACUUUGGAGUGUUUUCUCCUUCAUGUCAAACUUUUAUUUAAUACAGCUUCAUUUGCUAUACUGAAAUCCUGAAAUAUUUUCCAAAACAUGUAUAAUUUUCAACAUAUUUCCAAAACAUUUUGUACAGUCAAAAUAGUGGCACCUGCCCAAUGAAAGACUGAUUUUGCCAAGGUCAUUAAAAGUUUAUACAUUAGUCAUGGCAAGUGAUGUAUUAGUGUGCCUGCAUUUCCAAAUCAGCAUUGCACUUUGAAAGUUGUUAGCAAUUCACAAUAGAAAUGGCUUACAAUAAACACAGAGAUGCUGUCACCUUGUAAAGUUAUCAGACUCCUAUAGAGUCUUUACUACUUUGGCCAGAGAAGGUUUUGUAGAUAAUAAAGAAAAGUGACCAUUAAUGUGAUAGUUCUGGUCUUGGAGCAUUAGUUUGAUUGGAGACAACUCUGGAAACAUAAUUGUAAAAAGAGAGACUUGACCUUACUGAUUGGCUUUUAUAUUUUGUUAUAUAUAUGGAUGCAUGGUUUUUUCCAUUGCAAGUCUGAAGUUGUAUAAGCUAAGAGACUGAUAAGAGAGGAAAGGACAAUCAUUGCUAUUAUUUUUGUUGGAGGAGAGAGGGCUUUUCUAGCAAUACUGCAUAAAAUUGUGUUCAGUGUUUCCUCAUUUGCAGUUCUGGUGUUCUGGCCUUUUUCAGCACGGAGCUGGACCUCCAGGAUACAUCCUGUGGGUUUAGGCAGCUGUAAUGCUAAUUCCUGAGGUCUGUAAAGGGUCAAACAAAAGCCCUUCCUCUUAGGUGCAUACUAUAACAGUAGCAGAUUUUGGAAGACAUCUGUCAGGGUAACACUCUUUGUCUUUGUUCAAGCCAUAGCAGUUUCUCCUAAUUAGUUGUUUAGUUGCAAAGGUCCAGAGGUCCAGAAGCUAACAUACAUAAGAAGAAUAUAUUCUUUAUAAGCAUAUGCAUACAGAAAGAAGUGUGUUGUGAUGAUGGUGUUCUAAAUGAGAGGCUAGGGUUGAAUUCUGCUCCCUUCACUGUUCCAGACUCGCUGGCUGAUGAUGUGUCAUUUGUUUAACUUUUCUAUCACACUUCCUAUGUGAAGAAAAUGCCUUGGGGCCUAUUAAUUGAUACUUAAAAAGCACAGUACUAUUCUGUCUGUUUCUACAGAUGUCUUGCAUACAAACCUUUCUUUGUACCUGCUUAUAUGCAAGAUAGCAUUGAAAUCUGUGUAGGACAGAGGAUUUGGAUUUUCCCCAGCAAAGGCACUGAGAAGGGGGGGGUUUGAACUUUGUAUAUACUGCAGGAGAAAAAAUAUACAUACAAAAUGGCAGAGAAACCCAUCCUAACAACUGGCAAUGCUUGUGUUAUCCCUAGCCUAUUCAUCUGGUGUAUAUACUGUAGCAUAAUUCUUUGAGGAGAACUCAAAGCUAACAGCAGAAAUGUUUAGAUUUUCAAGCUGCUUUGAGUGUUAAACAUAUUAGAUAUCUGAGGAGACAUUAGUUUGUGGCCUGAUAUUUAUUAUCACAAAUGAAGGCAUACACCCAAAAUAUCAAGUGGCAAAACCACAGAAGUUUGACAUAUAGUUGUCUGGGCUUCUGAAGGCCAGAUAUCUGUAUAGCUGUUCAGCAAGAGUUGGCAUCUCAUUGGUGCAAUACAAUGAUAGACUACAAUAAAUUUCAAGUAGCUACUUAAGCAGAAUAGCGGCAUAAUAGUCUAAUCUGACAUUGCUUUCUUUCUACAGAGCUCAGUUAGUUUGUGUGGAAAAAUUAUAUCAGCACUUUUAAAUCUGCAGUUGUUCUUUUGUUUGAUAUCACUAGUAUCUGCCCGAGAUCAAACUUUGGAAAACAACCUAGUUUUUCUUAGGAACUGUGACAUUAUGGCAUUAAAAAUACUCUCAGACUCUUUCUAGAAAUACUUGGGUGUUUGGGUAUUGCUUGUGCAUUUUUGAAGUGAUGUUUUGAUUAAGGCAAUGAAGUGUCAUUUGUGUAUUUAAGAAAAAACAUGGAGUAUGUUGAUAUUGCUAAGAAUACCUUGAGCUUUCAUUUCAUAGCAGUACUUUUUGCCUGUAAGCGGAGAGCAUUUGUUGCCUUUUCAGAAGCAUAAGACUCAUUACCUAUAUCGUAUAUUUUUCAGGUUUUGAUGCUGCACCUUGCCUUUGCCAUGUCCUUUGCUUGUGCCAUAUGCAGAGAAACUCAUAGAGUAACUUAGAUUGGUAACUACCUCCUAAAGUGGAAUAAGCUCCAGGCUCUUUGUGGCAGGUGGAAGUGUAUAUUUUAACUUUAGGCAUUUGGUGGGCGAUUUAUUUCACGAGCUUUAUUGUAAUGGACUAGCAGUUCAAGAGAAGAGCUAAGCCCUUUUUGGCCCAUACCCCUGCCAGUCUCCUCUCUCAGCUGUAGGAUCAGGCUCUACCCGCCUCCCCACCCGCUUUUCCAGUAAUGUUCUUCCUUUUCCAUAGCUACCAAGAACAACCUUCAGCAGCUUUUCCCAGCCAGCAGAGUGCUCGGUCUGUUUUGCCUGCUCCCAUGAAUAUCUCUGCUUAAGCAAAGCUGUGCCGCUGCCCUUCAUUCCAGAGAGCAUGAAUCAUCUCAACUUUGUGUAUUUCUGUACCUAUCUAUAUAAAGCCAAUAAGGAUGGGGUGGUUCCAGUUUUGUUAGGCUUUAAGCCAGCUCUAGAUAUGUAGAGUUUAAUAUUGUAUGGAUUGCAUGCAAAGCAACAAAGUUGUGUUUAAUAGAGGAAGUCACAAGGUCAGCUCUUCCCCAUGUUUCUUAUCCUCUGGUCUAAUUUCUCUUCAUGUUAAUUGUGCUAAUUCUUUUUCAGCAAGGAGAGCAUGAGUUGGCCUAUGGAGGAAAUAAAGAGAGAACCAUCUUACUAUCUUCUCUCUGCUUUUCUGCAGCCUGCUGUUAAGGAAACACUUUGUGUGUGAUGGUGGAGUAUCCUUGUGCCUGAUGGUACUGCACCACAGUGUCUUCCCUGCUAAAACAUGGAGGGAAGAGCUCCUGCUUCUGCAGCUGUGAGGCAGGUUCUCAGAACGAAAGAGCUGGAAGCUGCUUUCUAGAGGAGAUAGGGCUUUGUGUGUGUGUGUUUUGUUUUAGAGAGAGAAAUGGUUGGAGGCCAUAAAAGUGUUUUGACUAUCUGAUGCUUCCAGAAGAAGGUGGUCUGUAAAGCUGCAUCUGUUCAGAGCUGGCUCAGUAGCUGUCUCGAGGGAGGAAGGCAGAAGUAGAAGUCAUCUGGCACACAACCGUCUGUGCAACUUAUAAUGACAAACUCCUCAUUCUUAUGAAAUGAGUCCUGGCAUAGUUAAUAUCCACACAGAGCAGUCAUCAAUGCUGUUCACUUCCAGCCCCUGCAAAUUGCUCAAUGAUUUCUUCAAGACUUGCUGAGGUAAGCAGUAAGAAGGCCAGGAGAAGGGUUGAGGAAGUGAAGACUCUUAGGAUCUUAAUAAAUUGAUAGGAUCCUAGUACUAAAUAAGAUGUUAAACUUGGACUUUAGGACCUCAGUGGUAGACACUGGAGAGUGGACAAGGUCUUGGUUACCAGAUUAUGGAAUGCUGUUGAUCUACUCCUGUUCUAAAGCAGUAGCUUUUAACCUCUUGUCAGUAUGUAAGCCUCAAAGGUUUUGCCUCUGUAGAUGAUCUAGCAGAUAAGGGCUUUUCCUGAAUCAUUCUUUUUCCGACUGAUAAGGAUGGCUGAUAUUUCUUAGACAAACCAUUUUGUUUUCAAAUGCAUCUGUUUAAUUGCUAUUCUGUCUUAAGGGACAUGUUGUAAUAAAACUCCAGUCAAACUGAA